rnacentral:rRNA from 1 species
UGGGGAAUUUUGGACAAUGGGCGCAAGCCUGAUCCAGCCAUUCCGCGUGCAGGAUGAAGGCCCUCGGGUUGUAAACUGCUUUUGUACGGAACGAAACGGCGCUCUCUAAUACAGGGCGCUAAUGACGGUACCGUAAGAAUAAGCACCGGCUAACUACGUGCCAGCAGCCGCGGUAAUACGUAGGGUGCAAGCGUUAAUCGGAAUUACUGGGCGUAAAGCGUGCGCAGGCGGUCUUGUAAGACAGAUGUGA